rnacentral:rRNA from 1 species
AACGAACGCUGGCGGCAUGCCUAACACAUGCAAGUCGAACGAGACCUUCGGGUCUAGUGGCGCACGGGUGCGUAACGCGUGGGAACCUGCCCUUAGGUUCGGAAUAACUCCCCGAAAGGGGUGCUAAUACCGGAUAAUGUCUUCGGACCAAAGAUUUAUCGCCUUUGGAUGGGCCCGCGUUGGAUUAGCUAGUUGGUAGGGUAAAAGCCUACCAAGGCGACGAUCCAUAGCUGGUCUGAGAGGAUGAUCAGCCACACUGGGACUGAGACACGGCCCAGACUCCUACGGGAGGCAGCAGUGGGGAAUAUUGGACCACGGGCGAAAGCCUGAUCCAGCAAUGACGCGUGAGUGAUGAAGGCCUUAGGGUUGUAAAGCUCUUUUAACCGGGAUGAUAAUGACAGUACCGGGAGAAUAAGCUCCGGCUAACUCCGUG